GAUGAACGCUGGCGGCGUGCCUAAUACAUGCAAGUCGAGCGAACGGACGAGAAGCUUGCUUCUCUGAUGUUAGCGGCGGACGGGUGAGUAACACGUGGAUAACCUACCUAUAAGACUGGGAUAACUUCGGGAAACCGGAGCUAAUACCGGAGGAUAUUUUGAACCGCAUGGUUCAAAAGUGAAAGACGGUCUUGCUGUCACUUAUAGAUGGAUCCGCGCUGCAUUAGCUAGUUGGUAAGGUAACGGCUUACCAAGGCAACGAUGCAUAGCCGACCUGAGAGGGUGAUAGGCCACACUGGAAGUGAGACACGGUCCAGACUCCUACGGGAGGCAGCAGUAGGGAAUCUUCCGCAAUGGGCGAAAGCCUGACGGAGCAACGCCGCGUGAGUGAUGAAGGUCUUCGGAUCGUAAAACUCUGUUAUUAGGGAAGAACAUAUGUGUAAGUAACUGUGCACAUCUUGACGGUACCUAAUCAGAAAGCCACGGCUAACUACGUG
rnacentral:rRNA from 1 species